AGUUUUUUUUCCGAAGUGGCAGCUUCGUAGCCCAUGAGGUUUAUCCAAGGAGUGAUUCUUGCCAAUUAAAAACCUUUUCAACAGAAUAGCUCAUUUUCUUGUGAAGAUUCUAGGAUC
rnacentral:snRNA from 1 species